GCUGGCUAUCCUCCACUACAAUGAAAAUGUGGACCGCGCGCAGUUGGAGAGGGAAGGUACGAAACAGUACCGCUUGAAGCCGUCCAAGCUCAAGAAAACGUGGGUACCCGUACCUCUAAAGGAAGAUGCUACGUAUGACUAUACAUCAAUCCUCACUGGCGAGGUGUUGUCUCGCGUAGAAAAACACCUAAAGGAGCCUGUUUCUGUGGAAAUUGGACCACCACGUGCAGCAACAUAUGGUGAAAGACCAGCUUUGGCACAAGCUGUGGAAAAGCACCAGGCCAGGUUCCAGAAGUGAGGGUUGUGACCACCUCACACGCUGACACUUCAGACCCCUCAGAAACCGUGACAAAGAAGAAGAAGAACAAAAAAAAGGCCCUUUUCAGGGCCACCCAAUGCUUUACACAGAGACAAGCGUUGCUUUUUGAUAAACCCAUUCUGCAUGCUAAUAUAUGAAACCAGUUUUACAUAUUCAUACAACUAAAGUAUUGUGGCACUACCUAUAGACUGUUUAGAAGUAAAGGUGUUGAAAAAAUAGCAGUAUCGAACUAAUUGAGAUCGUUUUUUUUGUUGUUUUUUUUUGUUUUCAGAAGAAGUCUUGGAGAACCUGCAACAAUGCUGAAGUCAUGAGAGCUCGGAACAUUCACCAACAGUGGUGGCACCCAACAGGAGGUCUCAGCUACGCCGCUUUCCUGGCUUGUAUUUUAUGUACAGAGUACAUUCCCUAACCUAGGGAGUGAGAUUCGUUCAUUUCACUCUGCAUGGCCAAAUAAGUGUCUUUCAACAGCUUUGUGCGGUAUUGGGGAAGGAUUGCUAGAGGGGAUGUAGUAAGAUGUGGUUGUAUCCCGUGGGCCCUUCCUUGAUCUUUUACACCCGGUGAUAACACAAUAGCCAACAGAAUUGGCCAUAAAAUAUUGCUACAGUGUUCUAUCUUUGCCACCAAAUAAGCCCAACACGUAUCUACAGAUUCCGACAAAAGUUCCAACAGAACACAGGGUUGGCAUGUAUCUCUUCUUAGGAGUGCCACCUUAGCCGCAAAAUUCAUCCGUAGCUGACACACUGACAGGUGGGCACCUUGUUGGCCUAGCCACAUAUUUGUAAUUGCAUCCACACCAGUUCGCUGAUACGGUGUCACUCCUGUGAGGAAGUUACGUCAACCCUGUGUUCUGUAAGCUUUUGAAGGAAUCUGUACAUACCUAUAUGAGGUGGCAUAACUGUGCCAGCUAUUUUGUCUUCCUACUGUGCACACUGACAUGUGGGAAGCAUCACGGUGGUCUUGAAGGUAGUUCUGUUCAUAGCUGUCGAAGAAGGGUCAUAUGCAUGAAAGAGGUAAGGUAAUGAUAGGAAUAAGACUCAUAAUGUACCAUGUUCACUUUUUUCCCCCAAGGUUUAUCCAGGGCACAUCAGCA